GUAGGUGGCAAGCGUUGUCCGGAAUUAUUGGGCGUAAAGCGCGCGCAGGCGGUUCUUUAAGUCUGAUGUGAAAGCCCACGGCUCAACCGUGGAGGGUCAUUGGAAACUGGAGAACUUGAGUACAGAAGAGGAAAGCGGAAUUCCACGUGUAGCGGUGAAAUGCGUAGAGAUGUGGAGGAACACCAGUGGCGAAGGCGGCUUUCUGGUCUGUAACUGACGCUGAGGCGCAAAAGCGUGGGGAGCAAACAGGAUUAGAUACCCUGGUAGUCCACGCCGUAAACGAUGAGUGCUAAGUGUUAGGGGGGUUUCCGCCCCCCUUAGUGCUGCAGCUAACGCAUUAAGCACUCCGCCUGGGAGUACGGCCGCAAGGCUG
rnacentral:rRNA from 1 species